UUUUUACAGGAUUUUUCAAUCGUUUAAUUUGGGUUUGUUUUGAUCUGAGAACGAGGGGUUUGUUGCUGUUUCUUGAGGGUUGGAGAACCAUGGGAAUAUUUGAGGUUUGGAGGACGACCGCCGCCAAACCGCCGACCGCCGCCCUCUCACUCGUUCUCUUCCUCUACCUCUCUCCGCGAUCAAGGCGACAGAAAUAGCUCUGGCCCAAGGUUGUGAUCCGCAAAUGGCUCAAUAUCAGCACCAAAGACUCUGAUUUUAGUGCUAAUGAAGGGGAUACCACUGAGAGCGAUUAUGAAUUUGAAGAGAUGUGCCGAUGGGAGAGGCAAUUGUGUGAGGAAGACAGGAGAUAGGGCUUGGGGCUGAAUCAUAUG